AUCGCUUCUUGGCUUUUUGGCUAAGAUCAAGUGUAGUAUAAAAGCAAAAUAAAAUAAAAUAAUAUAUGCUGGCAAUACCCACA
ensembl:snRNA U2 U2 spliceosomal RNA